rnacentral:sRNA from 18 species
AUGCGUACAGUGGGGCGCGCGAGCGCCAUCCACACCCACCUGAUCGCUGCUCGCUCCGUUUUGUUAGCC